GUGCCAGCAGCCGCGGUAAUACGGGGGUGGCAAGCGUUGUUCGGAAUUACUGGGCGUAAAGGGCGCGUAGGCGGCUUUGCAAGUCAGAUGUGAAAGCCCCGAGCUUAACUCGGGAAUUGCAUCUGAAACUGCUUAGCUUGAGUUCUGGAGGGGGUAGUGGAAUUCCCAGUGUAGCGGUGAAAUGCGUAGAUAUUGGGAGGAACACCAGCGGCGAAGGCGGCUACCUGGACAGUAACUGACGCUGAUGCGCGAAAGCUAGGGGAGCGAACGGGAUUAGAUACCCUCGUAGUCC
rnacentral:rRNA from 1 species